UACGUAGGGUGCAAGCGUUAAUCGGAAUUACUGGGCGUAAAGCGUGCGCAGGCGGUCGUGCAAGACAGAUGUGAAAUCCCCGGGCUUAACCUGGGAACUGCAUUUGUGACUGCACGGCUGGAGUGCGGCAGAGGGGGAUGGAAUUCCGCGUGUAGCAGUGAAAUGCGUAGAUAUCAGGAGGAAUACCGAUGGCGAAGGCAGGUCUCUGGGCUGACACUGACGCUCAUGCACGAAAGCGUGGGGAGCAAACAGG
rnacentral:rRNA from 1 species